rnacentral:sRNA from 1 species
AGGACUUCAACAUAGGAACUUAAGGGGGACAAAAUUCAGCCCAUAACAUGCAUUGAUGCAUAACAAAAAAGCAAAAACGGAACCAAAUGCAAGUGAGUCUGGGAUUCUAGCGAGGAGGCAGCGGCAGCCCAGAGCCAAGAAGAAGAGCAAACCCUUGAACCUCAAGAUCCACAGCAGCGUAGGCAGCUGCGAGAACAUCCCCUCUCAGCAGCGCUCCCCGCUGCUGUCUGAGCGCUCCCUCCGCUCCUUCUUUGUGGGACAUGCACCUUUCCUGCCUUCCACCCCUCCUGUUCACACUGAGGCCAACUUCUCUGCAAACACACUGUCAGUGCCACGCUGGUCUCCGCAGAUCCCUCGCAGAGAUCUCGGCAACUCCAUCAAGCACAGGUUUUCCACCAAGUACUGGAUGUCUCAGACGUGCACAGUCUGUGGGAAAGGGAUGCUUUUUGGCCUCAAGUGUAAAAACUGCAAGUUAAAGUGCCACAACAAAUGCACCAAAGAAGCCCCACCCUGUCAUCUUCUGAUCAUCCACCGAGGAGAUCCAGCAAGGUUAGUCCGGACAGAGUCCGUUCCAUGUGACAUCAACAACCCUCUACGGAAGCCACCUCGGUAUUCAGACCUGCACAUCAGUCAGACGCUCCCCAAAACCAACAAAAUCAACAAGGACCACAUCCCUGUCCCUUACCAGCCAGACUCCAGCAGCAACCCCUCCUCCACGACGUCCUCCACGCCCUCCUCGCCAGCACCCCCCCUCCCUCCUAGUGCCACGCCGCCUUCUCCCCUACACCCUUCCCCGCAGUGCACACGGCAGCAGAAGAACUUCAACCUGCCAGCAUCCCACUACUACAAAUACAAGCAGCAGUUCAUCUUCCCAGAUGUGGUGCCGGUGCCGGAGACGCCGACCCGGGCGCCCCAGGUCAUCCUGCAUCCGGUGACCUCGAAUCCAAUCUUGGAAGGAAAUCCAUUACUUCAAAUUGAAGUGGAGCCAACGUCGGAGAAUGAAGAGGUCCAUGAUGAGGCCGAGGAGUCAGAGGAUGACUUCGAGGAGAUGAACCUGUCCCUCCUCUCGGCCCGGAGCUUCCCACGCAAGGCCAGCCAGACCAGCAUCUUCCUUCAGGAGUGGGACAUCCCCUUUGAGCAGCUGGAGAUCGGCGAGCUCAUUGGAAAGGGCCGCUUUGGGCAAGUGUACCACGGCCGCUGGCACGGUGAGGUGGCCAUCCGGCUGAUUGACAUUGAGAGGGACAACGAGGACCAGCUCAAGGCCUUCAAGCGGGAGGUGAUGGCCUACAGGCAGACGCGGCAUGAGAACGUGGUGCUUUUCAUGGGCGCCUGCAUGAGCCCGCCUCACCUGGCCAUCAUCACCAGGCCAGUUUGAUUGUCCUAAAUAUAACGUACAGGAGUUGGGGGGCCUAAGCACAUGAAGAUUCCGUCCCCAUCAUCGAGUGGAAGCGGCUUCCUUUUAUGUUCAGAAAGCUGAAUCGCUUUCCCUUUAUAAAGCACAGCUGAAAAGGU